rnacentral:rRNA from 1 species
AUACGUAGGUGACAAGCGUUAUCCGGAUUUACUGGGCGUAAAGGGCGUGUAGGCGGUCUUGCAAGUCAGAAGUGAAAUUCCUGAGCUCAACUCGGGCGCUGCUUCUGAAACUGCAGGACUUGAGUGCUGGAGGGGAUAGCGGAAUUCCUAGUGGAGCGGUAAAAUGCGCAGAUAUUAGGAAGAACACCGGUGGCGAAGGCGGCUAUCUGGACAGUAACUGACGCUGUGGCGCGAAAGCGUGGGGAGCAAACAGGAUUAGAUACCCUGGUAGUCCACGCCGUAAACGAUGAGUGCUAGGUGUUGGGCAGCAAUGCUCAGUGCCGAAGUAAACACAAUAAGCACUCCGCCUGGGGAGUACGUACGCAAGUAUGAAACUCAAAGGAAUUGACGGGG